UACGUAGGGGGCAAGCGUUGUUCGGAAUCACUGGGCGUAAAGGGAGCGUAGGCGGAUCGGUAAGUUAGGAGUGAAAUCUACAGGCUUAACCUGUAGAUUGCUUUUAAUACUGCCUUUCUUGAGUAUGGGAGAGGAUGAUGGAAUUCCAGGUGUAGCGGUGGAAUGCGUAGAUAUCUGGAAGAACACCAGUUGCGAAGGCGGUCAUCUGGCCCAAUACUGACGCUGAGGCUCGAAAGCUAGGGGAG
rnacentral:rRNA from 1 species